CUAUCUCCAAACCCUUGUUCCUGGCUUCAAGAGCAACAUAUUCAUGAGAAUUAGCAAGCUGAUUUCGCAAUGGGUAGUUGUGAGAAAUAUUAAAUCGAUGGAAAAGUCCACAGAUGAGACGACGGCAUUAAGAAAAAUCAAAAGGCCCUUCAACUACCUAACACCAUGAAAACGAGAAACGAAUUCAGACACGGACACGGUACGAAAAUGAAAAAAAAAGAAAAUAAGGAGAAAAAUGAAGGCAACAUCAUCCUG